rnacentral:tRNA from 1 species
GGCCCCGUAGCUCAGUCGGAUAGAGCGACGGAUUCCUAAUCCGUAGGUCGCAGGUUCGAGUCCUGCCGGGGUCGCCA